rnacentral:lncRNA from 1 species
UGGAAUGAAAUAAAGAUGGAAUGAAGUGAAAAAAUGGAGGCCAAAAUAUAAACCUAUGCGGUCGCAUAGGAUCCUUCUAUGCGACCGCAUAGAUACCUACAGGGCCUAACGGCCCUGCCUUUGUGAAACCUAUGCGGUCGCAUAGGAUCCUUCUAUGCGACCGCAUAGAAGAAGGAAUAUAGCCGUUGGCAGUUUUUCAAUUAUGAUUUUGGCAGCUUUUCAUUUCGUUUUGGCACCUUUUCGUGUGGAAAUGUUUCAUGUCUAUAAAUAAGUGAUUAAUGGACAUUGAAGAAUAAUUACAAGUAUGUGAAAAACAUAUAAACAAAUCCACAUGAAAGAAUUAAACUUUCUUCCCUCCAUAUUCAAGUUCUUCAAGUGUUCUUCAAGAUUCGGGUGGAAAAAUCAUUUGUACUUUUGUAAUUUUCUACAUCAAGGCUUGAUCAAUCCUACGAACUAUUUGCCAUAAAACCUUUUAAGCACCAAAUUUUUAUACGAGAAGGGGCAAAUAUCGUUUGAGGACAACGAAUCAUUUUUGUGUUUGAGCCUUCCAUAUUAGUUUGUUUUCCUUGUUAACUUCCAUCUUCUUGAAUUUCUAUUUCUUAAUUUUCAUCUCCAUUUUCCCCGAUGGCAUAAAUUU